rnacentral:rRNA from 1 species
CCUACGGGGGGCAGCAGUGGGGAAUAUUGCGCAAUGGGGGAAACCCUGACGCAGCAACGCCGCGUGCGGGAUGAAGGCUUUCGGGUUGUAAACCGCUUUCAGCAGGGAAGAUAAUGACGGUACCUGCAGAAGAAGCCCCGGCUAACUACGUGCCAGCAGCCGCGGUAAUACGUAGGGGGCAAGCGUUAUCCGGAUUCAUUGGGCGUAAAGCGCGCGCAGGCGGGCCGCUAAGCGGGACCUCUAAUCUUGGGGCUCAACCUCAAGCCGGGUCCCGAACUGGCAGCCUCGAGUGCGGUAGGGGUAAGCGGAAUUCCCGGUGUAGCGGUGGAAUGCGCAGAUAUCGGGAAGAACACCGAUGGCGAAGGCAGCUUACUGGGCCGACACUGACGCUGAGGCGCGA